rnacentral:rRNA from 2 species
GGCCUGAGAGGGUGAUCCCCCACACUGGUAGUGAGACACGGACCAGACUCCUACGGGAGGCAGCAGUGAGGAAUAUUGGACAAUGGGUGCGAGCCUGAUCCAGCCAUCCCGCGUGAAGGACGACGGCCCUAUGGGUUGUAAACUUCUUUUGUAUAGGGAUAAACCUACCCUCGUGAGGGUAGCUGAAGGUACUAUACGAAUAAGCACCGGCUAACUCCGUGCCAGCAGCCGCGGUAAUACGGAGGGUGCAAGCGUUAUCCGGAUUUAUUGGGUUUAAAGGGUCCGUAGGCUGAUGUGUAAGUCAGUGGUGAAAUCUCACAGCUUAACUGUGAAACUGCCAUUGAUACUGCAUGU